AACGAACGCUGGCGGCAUGCCUAACACAUGCAAGUCGAACGAGACCUUCGGGUCUAGUGGCGCACGGGUGCGUAACGCGUGGGAACCUGCCCUUAGGUUCGGAAUAACUCCCCGAAAGGGGUGCUAAUACCGGAUAAUUUCUUCGGACCAAAGAUUUAUCGCCUUUGGAUGGGCCCGCGUUGGAUUAGCUAGUUGGUAGGGUAAAAGCCUACCAAGGCGACGAUCCAUAGCUGGUCUGAGAGGAUGAUCAGCCACACUGGGACUAAGACACGGCCCAGACUCCUACGGGAGGCAGCAGUGGGGAAUAUAGGACAAUGGGCGAAAGCAUGAUCCAGCAAUGCCGCGUGAGUGAUGAAGGCCUUAGGGUUGUAAAGCUCUUUUACCCGGGAUGAUAAUGACAGUACCGGGAGAAUAAGCACCGGCUAACUCCGUG
rnacentral:rRNA from 1 species